GCAGCUGAAUGGGAGGCCAGAGAAAGAGAAAGGUCAGGGAUGGCCCAGUGGGGAGGCUGAGUUUCCAGCCUGUGCUCAGGGGUGCAGCUCCUCUUGGAAAGAAGGGGAGGAGGGAAUACCGGGGGUCCGGCUCCUGGCAUUACCCGGGAGCCACUGCUCAGACCUGCCUUUCCACUCCCAGUUUGGAGCCUCACUCGACCCAAAUCCCAUCCCCCUCCCCCCGUUCUCCUGCCACACAAUCACACUUCUGUUCAUGACACACACCGUUCAUGACACCUCUGAGGGCUGCACCUGCGAGUAUGGCCUCUCCCAACAGUCCCCUUGUCACAGCUGAAAGCACCUCAGAAGCAAGGGUGUUGCUCUCCAGGACCUAGCCCUGUAUGUGCUUUAAGAGGACCGGGUGACUGGCCCAACAGCUUCACCCUCUCUGGCUGCCCUCCUCCCUGAGCCUUACUGUGCAGGGCACGUCUGUUCAUCACAAAAAGGCUCAUUCCGUGUGGCUCUGCAGUGUGGCCUCCUCUUAACCUGAGCAACCCCUUCUUGAAGCUCAAUCCCAGUGGCCCGAGAGCCACGAAUUCAGAACUGAACUCCACAUCCAGAAGGGCAAAACCAAGGCUUCCCAAGGACGGAAACCAGGUGCCCAGUCAUUAACCAGUCAGCCCAGAAGCUCCCCAAGCGCAGAACUGGCUCCCUCCCCUCGAACAGGUUAGUGGGCUCGCUCAGAGUGGCUGGGCUGGUAUGGGUUCUUGUUCUACCUGCAGAACUCCUGCUCUAUGGAGUUUAUGCGAACACCCUGUGGUAGAAGGUCCGAAGGAGGAAGCAUGGUGAGCAGGUCAGGAAGACCACAUGCCUGGGACCCCAGCACUCCUGGAGCCAGGGCUGAGGUGGAAAAUGGUGGGGGGGAGGGGAGGGCUUGACGCUUGACUCUGUAACAUUACCUGAAUUGGUCAGGAGAGAUCCUGGUGGGCCUGGUGGGCCUGGCAGGCCUUCUCCUAGAUAAAAGAACCACCAAGACUUUGUAAAGCCCAGUCAUGAACCAAGAUCCCUCUGCCCAGGAAAAGUGGCAGGGAAGCUCUUUCCUGAGAGCCAGGCCUGGGCUCUGGGCACCAUGGUCUUGUGUCUCUCACCAAGGAGCUUAGCUCUCACCUGCUGGGCCUCGGGGUCCUGGCGGGCCUGGAAUGGAAGGUCCUGCAGAAGAGUACAAGCAAGAGGCCAUGCUGAACUCGGGGAGCUGACCUAUGCUAUGAACAGGAUCUCAGCUUCCUAAGUGCCAUGUCCCCCACAAUUCCCCACCUUCCAAUGACCCGAGAUGCUCACCUGGAGGCCCAGGUGGUCCAGGUGGGCCUGGGGGACCUCGUAAAUCAAGACCUUCUGUGGAGGGAACAAAAACAGAAAUGAGCGGAAACUUUCAUGAGGCUGUUCUCUGCCGGCCUCACCCCUCAUUAGGAUCGUCAGUGCCAGGGCCCCGCGCCCCACUCACACCCCAGAGGCCGGCUCUGAGUCAUUGCGCAGGGCCCUCCAGGACCCCCUCUGCUAGCAGUGCUUCUCGCUCACAAGCAAGGCAGGCCAAGGCCGCAGGCAGACUCCCUGAGAGCUAAGUACGAGACUUUGGGAUCAGUCCAAGUUCAAGCUCCUGCUCUGCUCCUUCCAGCUGGUGGCUUUGGGUGAGUUCGCAAUCUCUUUUGGCCUCUGUUUGCUCUUCUCUAAACCAGAGGCAUAAGACCUAUGUCGAGCCCUGUGCAGACCCAGGGAGGUCCCGCAACACAAGUCUAGCACACGGUGACUGUUGGGCCAUGCUUGGCUAUGGUCUUUGCUAUUCAGCUGUCUAAGUGGGAGGCCCAGUGCAUGUUUGCAGGGACUCUUUAAAGGACUCUGGGAACAGAAGAACCAAGAACUCACCCUCCCAGGCCGGGCCUAUGGCCAAGAACCCAUGGAGCCCGGUCCCUACUGAGUGGGGAUGCAGACUCUUGCCAGCCAUUCUCCUAGCACCCAGCUCACUUCAGAAUCCUGAUGUGACCCCAGUUCCCCUAGAAUCCCAAGAACCUCUGACAGCUGCCCCAUCCCAGUGACUCACCCUCUAGAGCUGACAAAAGCCCCGCUGUUGCUUUGAGGCCAGCAUCGCCUUUCAGAGCCACUUGUCAUUCCCGGUCCCAACUGGGGCCCAGGAUGACGCACUGGUCCAGCUGCUGUGGGCCCCCAGUGCACCACCACCCAUCCCGCGCCCGUCCCGGCGUCACCUCAUCCCCAGAGAACACGGGGGGCACUCACGGGUGGA